rnacentral:lncRNA from 1 species
UUUCGAUUACGGAUAUAAAAAAUAAAAAUUCAACAAAUUCUAGUUCGGUUAUGGUUUGUAACCCGACCCACUAUGAACAAUAACUCGUUAGCCCAAACCACCUGCCCAAAAUACUUAAGUCCGGUUAUUAUUACUAGCGUGUAGGUCUUAUAUAAACCGAUCGAAAUCAGUAUUCUAUCCGAUGUGGGACUAUUGGGGGUGUUACAUGGUUAGUCCAAAACCACACCCUAAAAACCCUAUAAUAUACAAAUAAUGUAAUUUUGCAUAUGUUUAUUUUAAUAAGUAAUAUGUAUUAAUAAAAUUUUAAAAUAUUUAGCAUGUUAAAUAGUCAAGUUAAGCUUUUCGGUUUUGGGUAUGGGUUUUGGGCUUGUAUUCACAUUCAGUUUCGGGUUUGGAUGUUUAUACUUGGUCGGGUAUGGAUUCCUACUUCUUGGGCCUACGACAAAAGACAAAAUGGACCCUGGGGCCCGGCCCGGUACGGCCCAUAAUUUUAAUAAAGAGGUCGACUUCGCAAUAAGCCUCACUUCCUAUUGGGUCGGCCCGGCCCAUUAUUAUCCAUCCAUAUUAAUAAAUUUUAUGUUAACUACCCCUUUAGUAGAACUCCUAAUAACCAUAACCAUAUAUGCUUCAUAAACUAAGUAACUAACAUUAAAAAGAUUAAAAAAUUAAAAUUAAAAUACUUAAUAAUAUUUUUAAAAUAAAAAUUAAAAAAAUAGCCCGGUCCGCCAAUUGUCGACAAUUGUUGGUACAACAUUAAUCUUUUCUUAACUUGUGUAUCCAAGGCUUAAGAUCCAACCUGUCUCAGGACAUGUUGAGCAUGAGUAACUUACAAAAUAAAUCAAAUCACAUCUCGUCCUCAAUUACAUCCAUAUUUUAUGGUGCAGAAUUUCUAAAAGAGAUUCCUUUCUCACAUCAGCAACUACAAAUAUAAGCAAUUCAAAAAAAGAAAGAAAGAAAGAAGAUCCUGAUUUUAAGUCACUCUGUUUGUGCUUAGCACUACUGCACUACUUUAUUCCCCCACUACUAUGAAUUAAGAUAUCCUGUGGAGGACACCUUAGAACAUGGAAUGAAGAAUAAAAGCAGUGGAUGUCAUGUCAUGAUCAUUUGAGUAUGAGUUUCUUCAUCCAAGUAGUUUGUGUUAUUUAUUUAUUUUGCUUCAUUGUGCUGCUACAGUGAGGAUGUGAUUCUGCAUCAUCUAUUUUAUUUACCUUCACUGCCGAAUAUGUCCAACUAAUUACCAGAAUUUAUAUGAGAUGCAGAAAUUUCACCACUGUAUUAGCUAAGUUAAUGAGUUAGUGGAUCUCGUAGUUCGCCUAUUACGAGUAUUCAAAUAAUCCGACAUAAACUAUGCAAAUGAUACAUACUUCUUUGGUAAGAAAAUUAUAACUGUAUUUGAUCUGAAAUGUCACUAACUUCUUCUGCAGGUGCGUACAGCGCAUUUCUAUUCUCCUUUAGAGAUUUGCAGGAACAAAGCAAAAUUAGACCGAAUCAUAAUCUUUAGAUAAAGGUCAUUUCCAUGUUUUUUUUGUUGCAAGAUUACUGCAGAAAAUAGCGGCAGAAGAGAACAAUGUGUGAUAAAUUUUGUCACAAGCUCUUUCAUUCCCUUUCUUUUGUAACAAAUUUGACACCAGUAUGUAUUGAGGAAAUAAAAACUGAAACCUAGAGGUUAGACUAAAAUAUACUUUCAUUUCUACAAGCCUUCUAAACGCAUGUGCUCUAGUCGAUUCUGUACCGUCGGGGGCAAAAAAAAAAGGGGGGGCUCAGAUGAGGAUGAUGACAAUUUUUACUCUUCUGUUUAAAGAAAAUGACAAAUAGUUAUUCCUUUGUAUUGAGUUAUUUCUAUGUAAUUUUACUAGUAAAGAUAAGCGAUAAGAUAAAUAAAGACGAAUGCCAAGCAUUAACAGUGAUCAAAGCUGACAAAAUAUUUCUAGACAGGAAACCAUGUGCAAACUUCUAGAUUUUACUCAAGAUGAAAAUCAGCAGCAGCUACAGAUUGCGAGAAUCGGUUGCCAAAACAGUAUACAAAUGGUUUCUGAGGUAAGGAAGAAAAAAAAGAAAAUCACCCAGUGCAUCAAACCAAAAAGAAGGAAAAAAGAGAAAAGAAAGAAAAAGAAUAACAGUUCCCUUUCUACAAGAGGGAUGGAAGAAUCACUCGACUGCGAGAUCUACCAUUGCUCUAACAACUAUUUACAUUCAAAUCCAUAGCUGUAUCCAAUUCCUUUUACUCUAAAAAAUCUCCCUUAAUGACGAGCCGUCGGGCUUCUCAAGCCCCCCAAGUGCUCAACUUUCUCUAUAUAAGAAAAUUUCUUGGUUGGCUCGAUUUUUGGUGGCUUCUUCAAGUCCGCGGUCUCAUCUUCCUUCGUUUUGGAUUCCUCCGAAUCGAAAUGCCAACCCAUGAAGUCCCAUAGUGUCAUUGAAUUCGGCGCUUCUUUCAACUUCUCCAUCUCUACUUUGGGGUCCAAUUUCUUCGCGGGUCCUGCCGGUGUCUCCGAAUCUGAUAACGAGUACCUUCUGGUUGAGUCCUUGAGGGAUGGGUCUUGAGUGAGGGAAUCGGCGUAGAGGACGUCUUCAAUUCGCGACAUCACGCUGAAUGCUAAGCUUUCUAGAAUACGUGAGUAGCUUUCAAGAAUGGCGUGCCCGGCGUCCUGGAGAAAAUUCAAAAACAUUUCUUCGUCAUUGAGUAGUUAAUCAAAUUCGUUGCUUGGAAUUUGUCCCCAACCAAACGCGACCUUACGAACCGAAAGAUAGAGAAAGAAAGUGAAUUUUGUUUUCCUUACUUUAUUGUAUUGGAUCUUGCUGAUGUCGAGGGAGGACUGAGGGAUGCCAGGGAAUUUGUGCUUGAGGAGAUGUAAGAUGGUCUCUGCUCUCUCUUCGAACGCCUCCCGCUUCUCCAGGCUGACCAUCGAACCCCAUGAGGACUUGCCAUCCUUGUUGUGCAUCUUCCUCUUCCAAAUGACUAUAGACGCCUCGAUUCGGUUCUUGAGGUCGAGGACAUUGUGCUCCGUCGACAGGUCCAUCGAUGCGAGGAAUUCCUCAGGGUCGAAGUCAGUAUCAACUGUUAUGCUCUUGUAUAUCACAUCUCCAAGGCUUGCCCUCCCAUUCUACAUUUGAAUUUUGAUUAAAUAAGUAACAUAUUUAUAAUUUUAGUACAAAUUUGAAGUGCAGUAGUAGGGAGAAUGAGAAUGUUUUAGGGGUAUAUAUAUUUAUACCCUUGGUAGUGAUUCAAUGUAGACCUCAGGGACCUCCAUUUCCAUAAGAACCUGAGCAUUUAUCGCCAUAGCCGCCUUGAGCACUUGGUUCGCAGACUCCUUUUGGUAUUGCAGCCAUUUUCUCGACAUCUCAGAAAGACCGUUAGACGGGACUUUCACAGUUGGAAGCCACCACUUGUCGCCUUUCCUUUGAGCACUCCCCUCAUCCGACUCUUCACUGUCGGCCUUUACAUACCAAAAUUCAGUCUGAUCUUUAAAGUUGUCGAGAAAACCCUGAAUUUCCAUACAAACAACAAAAAAAGAAGUAUUAGUACCUUCAUCUAGUAAGCUUUAACAUGUAAAUUUUGCUUUUGGACAAAGAGAGAAUUGUUUUUCUUACUAUGAGCAUCGCAUCUAGCUUUUUCAAUGCAGGGAUGUUCAUCUGAAGAUCUCUUCGUUGCUGGGUUAUCAUUAUCUGUGCGAAGAGAGAAACCAAGCAAUGUUAAAAGUUUAAUGCAGGUGCCUAUCGCAGUAUCGCUCUCUCGUUUCAGAUUGCACAACCACAUAAGAAUCUAGGAAGUAAAGAUUAUGAAAGACAACAAUUGAAAAGGAAUUUGGUUGUGACCUCCAUGCUUUGUCCAUCUUUUGUUGUCUGUGCCGAAGGAACAAACUCGACAAUGUGAUCAGUGACGGAUAGAAGCCAAUCGACUUCUUUCCUCCAUCGUGCCCUCAACUCGGGAGGUAUUGGUUCCAAUUUCCGGUGUUCACCGAAAACUGAGGCUGAAGAAAUACAAAAAAUAACAAUAAAAUAAAUUCAUUACGAAUCAACUCGAUUGACAGUUUUUGGAUAUAUCUACUAGCAUCUUAAUUUAUAUAAAUCUAUCAAGAUGAUGGUUUACUCCCUUUUCUAAACUCGAGAACUUGUUUCAAUAUGGCCAUCUUAUAACAAUGAGAUACAUAAUAGGAUUAGAAAAGUACCGGCGAGAUUUGUGAUGGCAUUGGAGAUAGCAAGAGCUGAGGAAACUCCUUUUCCGGAGCCUGACAUGUCCUCUCCAAGAAGAAGCUUCGCGAAUCUCUCCUUCAUUAGCUCCAUAUCUGGAUCACAGAAACCAAAUUAUUGAUGAUCAGUCAACAAGAAUCAUAAAUAUGAGUCAUAAAUUGCACCAGGGCAUGCACCUCAACCUUGUUAACACAUUUUCAAUAUCAUCCUUAAAAGCACAGCUUUUUACUAUUGAUUCCUCGGUGUCUGACAAUGAAAUCCUCUAAAAAUUAUAACAUGAUAUGAAUGGAACAAUGAGUUUCACCUGAAGGAGGCCCCUCCCGACCACCAUUGGCGGCGGCACCGCCAUGGCGAGACCUUACAGUUGUCUCCGAUGCCCCGCCAGUCGAUGCUGCAGCCGCUGAACCAUUCCCGCCCACACCACCGAUUUCGAACAUCUCCUUCGCACCACCUCGCGACCACUUCUCAAGGCUGUGCCCCCUCUUCAGGAACCGGACCAUCACACUGCUCAACGCCUCGAACUUGGAUCGCAGAGCAACAGGCCGGUCCGGAUCAUCCCUCAAGUCGAAGAAACCCACUAUGGAAAAUGUGGAAUUGGAGUGGGAAAGGGGGAAGCUUUGUUGGAGAAUCAAGUGUAGGAGAUGAAAAGAAAGGGAAAGGUGGGAGCUUUUUUUGUUGAAUGGAACUAUAGAGGAGGAGGUAGAAGAAACACAAAAAAAGGGAAAAUGAUGAGAAAGAGUGGGAAAGGUGGGAGCUUUUUUGGUGAAUUGAGCUUCAAAGGGGAAGAGUGAAGAAACCCCAAAAGGAAACAAGGUUAGGAAGUGAGGAAGAGAGGGAAAGUUGGGAGCUUUUUUGGUGAAUUGAGGCCUAAGAGAGGUGGUUGCAGAAACCAAAACAAGGAAAUGGAGUUAGGAGAUGAAGAGAAGCAAAAAUGGGGGCUUGAAUAAGGGGGAGGAGGAGGAGGAGGGGGGGAGAAAACCAUCUUCUCCCAAAAUUUGUGAUUUGCAACAAAAGAGUAUUUUGGGAGUUGGUUUGGGGUGGGUUUGUUUUUCUUCUGGUGAAAUGGGGGGAAUGUCUUUGUUUUUUGUUUGUUUGUUUUUUUUUUUGCCUUUUUUUAAUUUUUUCUGUUUCUAAGAGAUCUAAUGUGGGGUGCAUGUUUGUGGAGGGAGAGAGGGAGAAGUUGGUGGAAGGUACUAUGUAGUAUUAUAAUAUAGAAAGGAGCAGUUUUCUGGUUGGUUGAACUUGUUAGAGAGAGGAGAGAAUAAAUGGGUAGGGCUUAACCCUAAAAAUAAUAAUAAUAAUAAUAAUAAUAAUAAAUCUUAUCCACUUGAUUUGAAGAGGUAUGAGGCAAAGAAAAAGCCCGGGAAAAGUGCAUGAGAAUGCUCCCUCCCACUCUCUUUUGUGCUUCCCAUUAUAGGAGUCAUUUGGGUCCAUCAAAUGGACAAAGUUUUAGCCAUUUGAAGAAUCCAAUGAAUCCUUUAAGAUCUAAUGGCACCAAAAGGCAAAAGGUUGUAGAAAACUAUAUGCUUGUCCAAUUGUCUCAAUUAUUGUACCUGUAUUCCCCAACUAUUGCAACUUAAUUUCUGAACUUUUCAUUUAAAUGUUUCAGUUCAUGAGGUUUCUCAUAUAUUGCAUUUUCAUCAUUGGCCACUUAAAAGAGGGGGGAAAAAACUCAUAAAAAGCUUUCCCCCCCUGUUUCAAGUACAUAAACAAGAUUAGUCAUAUGUAAAAAAAGGAUAAAAUAGUUAUUUUAUAGAAAAAGAACUUUUUUUAAGUUCCAAUAUCAGGAUAAUACAGAGAUCAUUUAUGCAUUCCCCUCAUACAACCAAAAACAUGUCUGUAUUGUCAACUCAUAAAAAUUUAAUUUUAUCACUUCAAAAAGUAAAUAAUACAAAUAAUAGAAUCAUGCAGCUGGCAACAUUAGAAAAAAAAAAAAAAAUUUACAUGACAGUUUUAUUCUUUUCAGUCAAACUGCACCGAUAUUCGAUGAGAGUUCCAGCUCAACUAGUUUUGACCAGCAGGAUGUUACUCUUCCAUUAUAGUAAUGCAUAACACAGUCCAGAUUUUGUAAUCACACAGCACAAUCCUUUAGCAUUCCUCUUAUCAUGAAUUAAACAAUUUUUUCACCACCAAAACAAAUGCCGCACCACAUCCAAUAGAACUAACAAUUAUUAAAUAUCAUACAAAUCAAGGAGCACAGGAGUACAAUCUGAUGUUAUCUGAAUGGAGGUUUCCAUCAGAGCCCCUUUACAAUAUGCUGUAUACUGCAACACAAUGAGAAUCAAAUGCAGGGGAAAAAAAAAAAGAAGAGAAAAGAAUCAAAUGCACUUACUGAAGGGGGCAUAUACAUAAUAAUGAUUAAAAUUAUAGAUUAGAUAUUAACAGAUUUUUUAGUAUGCUACCGUUAUCUACCGGCAACUCUUGAGAAGGUAGGAGGACGGGCUGGAAAGGCUCACCGAUGUCCCUGCAAUACCUAUUUUCUUUGUUUCAGUUCUGGCUGGCAUGGCGCAUCCACUAAAAUCUAGAACUCGGGCCUCUGCCUAUUAACAUAAAAGAAUUUUGUCAACAUGAUAGCCACGGAAUGACUAAUUGGGUGUUAUUAGAGAUAACAAUUGAAUCCGCACAUCGUAUAGCUUACACAAGUCGAUAAGUUACAACUAGAAACCAAAUUGGCUUGCUCAGUUUUAUGCAUGGCUAAACAUUUUUAUAUUGUUAUAAAUAUGUUGACAAAAACUGAAAGAUAGAUGUUUUAGAGGCUGUACCAAACUACCAAUGGACUCCAAGGUCUGAAAAGUGAAAAACCACGACAAAUCUUAUUGUCAAAAGAUUUUUGAUUUAUUAAACUACAGUUCAUGCAACUUCAAUAAUUCAAUGGACAACAUAGAUAACAGUUACUGUCUACCUAAAAAUAAGGUCAAUCAAGGUCCAGCACGAGGGUCAAAACUGAAUCUCAAGUAUGAAAUUGAGAUCACCAUGAAACUUCAGGGACUUGCUACAAUUGAAACUUAGGACAAUUUAUAACCCAAAAUAUAGUGGAGUACCGUGACUUUAGGUGGCAUAUCAAAUACCUUCAUCGACUGGUCUUUCUCUUUCGGGAAAAUUUUCUUGUCUGAUUUCCUUUCCUCAAGACCAAUCCUGGGGCUUCCACUAGCCAACACCUCAUGGGCUUCAGCCACAGCUGCAGCAGUGUGCUCGCUCAACUGCCUCAUCAGCCCGAUGGCAUCAUAGGUUCCAUCUCCUCCAGGACUCAUCAAGUACCCAAUAUCCUGUCAAAGUAUAGAAGAACAGAGACCAGAAAUGUCAAUAUUAAAAAAUUGAUUAGAAAUUCGGAAGUUCUCAAUAUUAAUGAUUUAAAGUAAAUCAUCGCACAUAACAGUUAGGAGAGGCAUUGCAUAAAGAAUAUUAAAAUUCUAUAGAACACCGAAGAAUAUGACUUGGAUGCGUACAGAAAAGCCACUUUUCCUAUACCUGAUAUGUCAUGUCUGUCUCAAUUCUUGGUGCAAGGAGUACUGAGUUCAUGAACCAAGGUGACUUCCAGGCAGAAGGAGAUUCUAUUCCUCGUUUGAUGCUUGGGGUGUCAGCAAGUCUAGCAAGAGUAAGGCCACACUUAGAGGGAGUACAGAGAAUAAAAAAAUGUGGGCUGCAUAUUAAUACAAGGAUCACAGAUCGCACAAUGUGCGUCACUGAUAAUAUCAAAUUACAGAAAGUAUUGUAAGUUAAGAAACCUGCAGCAUCACAUAGAAAAAUAAGAAAUUGGAUAACGAGGUGAAGGGUUGCAUAUAUUCAUCUUACAUGUUUAGAUUCUCAAAAUCUACAUCAAUUGAUGAGCCAAAGUUCUCAACUUUAACCUCUGUUGGUUGUAUAGAUUGUAUAGAAGUAGCAGGUAAUGGAGGCUGGCCUUCCCAUUUACCAACACUAGGAGAAAGGACAGAAAUGAAGUUCAACUGGGAGGUGGAGCAGCAUUUGUCUGAUGUAAAGUCCAAGGGUCUGAAUUGAUGUUUUGAAUACUUUGCACCGGUUUUUGAAUACCCAGGAUAUGAACCACUUUCAGGAGAAAACAUUAAGAGGUCAUUAACGUUAUAUUCAACGAGAAUUCCAGCAUGCUGCUGCAUAGAAAAUUCAUGGACAAACAGCUGUCAAAAUAGUGAACAAUGCAAGGGACAAAGACGAAAUCUCAGUUCCAUGCAUAAAUUCGGUAUUAAUGUGUUGGCAUUAUAUUUUGAUGAACUAUUGGACGAUUGCAAAAAGAUGUCAAAAAUAGAAAAAAUGAAUCGGGCACCAUAAAGCCGUUAAGAAGUACAGAUGAAAUAUGGGAAUAAUGACAAAAGAGCAAAAGCAGGUAUUAUCACCAGUAGAUACAAGUAUAGAGAAUAAUUAUUUUGUACAUUAGUUUUCUGUGUUUCACAAUUUUCCAUGUAAAAUGAACCAGAGUGUCUCGUCAAUAAUGAACAGAUGCUUCAGUAGUCUCAUUUUGUCUGUAAUAGCUACUAUGUCUGGUAUAAUAUUCAUCUGGUAUUUUAGAGAUGUGUGUCUAUUACUUCUACUAAGCGUCUGUUUUCCAAAAUAAAACAAAAUAGGCUGAUAUUGCUCUUGUACUUAUUUGAUGACAUCCAAAUAAUGUUUAUGAUAUUCAUCAAUGAUGAGAAUCCUGCAACAGUAAUCCAAACUUAGGAUAUUUUAUUAUGAAUUAUUGGGUUAUUUUGGUGAGAUGCUUGCUUGGAUAUAUCUUUCAAAGGUUGUAGCAAAAAUUUUUCAAUGAAUUUCCUUUUUUUGAAAUGUUAGGGAUAUAACUUUCAUUGAAAAACAAUUAAUGAAUAAAUUAUAGAAAAAUAAAUUACUUACUUUUUAUAUUGGUAAAGUAUUUAGACCUGGCUAGAACCAAUUAGCAUCAUCACACACUAUGAUGCAGAAAUGGCUAGUGAGAGAGCAUAUGCAAGUAGUCAGUAUUGUGACAUUGUUUAACAAAAUAAAGAGUUAUUUCAUUCUUCAGUUGCAAGUUAUCUGGGUGUGAUUCAUAAUCAAAGACAUUAAAGGCCACAAAGCACUUACUUCCUCUUCUGUAGAAUUUGAAUCAAUUUUCCAAGCUGAAGCAGAUGUAGACAUAUCUUGUCUCGCCAUAGUUUCAGACCUAAUCGAACUAGGUUCUUCAACAGUAAUCUUCUCAUCCUCGGAAACAUCUUUAUCUUUUCUGUAUCCAGAUGCAUUGCAUAAAUCUUCCAUUCUUUCAGCAGAAACUUCUUCUUUCAUUCUCUCACAAUUUGACGAAGAUCCACAAGCAAAAUUUUCAGCUUUUGCAUCACCAAUACAUGAAUCUGCAAACUGGGCUGUCAAGGAUAUACUCGAGGAUAUAGCAAACAAUUCACAAUCCACAGUAAUCCCAGUCUUUUUAUCCGCUCUAUGAUCAUUCGAAGGAGAUAACAAUUCGCGCUGCCUUUUCUUCAUAAUCGAAGGGGUGCAUAUGAAGCUUUUAGCAGCACUCUUGAGUACAAAAUCUGGACUCUCAUCAUGAGAUGGCGAAUCCGAGAAGCUGAAUGGAUUAGAGAAGUUCAUUGAUGACCUCAUCAGUUGUCGAAUUCCAAGCGGACUAAAAUCCUGCUGGAGAUCGUCUGAUGAUGAUAUGAGAUCGCAGCUGACAAAUGGAAUAUCCAAGCUCGGAAAUCGGGGCGGUUCAUAGAAUAGUGCUCCAUUAUCCUUUUGUUCCUCAUUUACCACCAUUUGCUUUCCAUCUGAUAGUGCAUCAAUUUCCUUAAGAACUCCAUCAUCAGGACAUGUAAUUUGCACUAAAUUGUUGGUCUCUGGAAAAAUAUGAUUUCUCUCAGUUUCAUCACUCUUCCCUGUCGAUUUACCAUCAUUUGGGCAAAUAAAAGAGGGAUGAACUACAGUCGUCAAACUCUGGUAAUAUGAUGAGUCUAGCAUACUAGAUGAUGAAACAUGGUAUAAGGGGGAUGUGUAAGAACCAAAAUUUCUAUGAGGUUCAAAAGAAUAUGCAUCAUGUUGGCAACUUAUACCUGAGAGAUGACCACUAUUUGUCAUAUCUGGUGUACUAAUAGUAUACUGUAGGGAAUUAUCUUGGCAAAAGUCUGACGGAAAACUAUGAUCACUGCUAGUGACAGAAGCCGGCACUUUUGGUCCUCUGAGUUCCUCAUUUUCAAUGUAGAAAUUGCUGGAUGUUCCAUUAUAUUCCAGGUACUUUUUGGUAUCUUCUACUAAGCUAUCAUCAGGCAUUUGUUGUAAGGCCAUAUGGGUAUUAAUUCUUUGAGAAACUUCAACCUCAUUAUCUACAUCUCGAGCCUCUUCCAAUGCAGAACGUUCAUGUGGUACAUUGGGUAAUUCACGUGUGAUUUCCUCAAUUGAAUUCUGAUACUCUUGGGGACAGAAUGAGAAAUCAUAAUCUUGCACUUCAAAAUCAUUAUGUAUAGGCUUUACUUCCAAAUCAUCACAAAUUGGAUCUGCAUUACUCAAUUCACAACUGGAUUGAGAGCGAGGAACUAAGGCAGACGAGGCUUGACUACACUCGGACAAAUCUUCAAUUUCUUGCCUGAAUUUAUAGCCACUAUCUUCACUGUUUUGUCUAGUUACAGAAGAUGUGGGGAUAUGGUGGGAAGGAUUUUCUAUAUGAGAUAAGCCCUGAAAUUGUGAAAGUAAACCCGACGCUGAAUAGGAGUCCAACUUCUUCUUCACAGAACUGUUCCAGUGAUUUUUAAUUGCAUUGUCCGUCCUGAGAGUGAAACAUUUAAUAUUUGAUGAUUCAUUCCAGAGUUCAUAGAAAAUGAGUACUUGCAAAAAAAAAUUAAAAAAAAAGAGUUAACAAAUGAAAAGAAAAAAAGAGGUUUUGAGUAAUAUGAUCACACUAACAAAAAGGGAAAAAUAAUCACUUCUGAAAGACUGAAACAUGUAGGUUCUAGUUCUGAUUAUCACCUUCCUGGUAAAAACUUGGUCAACUCAGCCCACUUAUUUCCAUAUAUUUGAUGAGCAUGAAUCAGUGCUAUCUCCUCAUCUUGAGUCCAUGCCUCCUUGUUUAUUGCGGGGUUAAGAUGAUUGUGCCACCUGAAGUACAUAUUUUCCACCAUUAUAUAUGAUUUUUUUUUUUUUGAAAAAGUAUGUUUUACAAACAAAAGCAACCAAAUGUUCAAUGAAAAUACUAACAAACAAUUAUUAAAAUCAUAAAUUGCAAAAAUAAUGAAUAUAUAAAGUAGGAUAUAGAAGCUAGAUAUUACGUUUUCAUUUCCGGGAACGUAUUUGACACAAAAACUGCAAGAUACUACAUGUGAAGAAAAGAAAGGGCAUCUAACCAGCUGACAGAAGAAAAGCUUGGCUUCUAAAACAUGUAUGCCUGGGAUGAUAUUUAAGAAGUUAACAUAUAGAUUACAACCUAUCUCAAAGGGGAAUACGCAAUUGAAACGAAAUGAUUAAGACAAUGAUUAGCAAAUGGAUAGUUGCAAGUUGCAACCUGAGUGACAUAGAAUCCAAGGCUGGCGUGCCUUCAUUCAACUUGGAUAAUCUUAUACAAUUAGCUUUGAUGCCUCUUUUGAAUGCUAAUUUAUACCUAAUCCUAGAUUUUGGGGUAUUCGCUCUUAGCUAACAAUCAGUAUGAAAAGGAGGAACCAAAAGAUGAUUAGGGAAGAUGGAGGUUAUUAUAAGUAUCACCAAGGUGACGAGACAUGUAAAAAGUCUGAAAACUUAUGUUAAUGCUGAUUAACUUAAUGACUUUUCUAGUCCACACAGUACCUUUCUCGGCAUUGCUUUCCAAUGCGUCCUGGUAAUGCCUGUGAUAUUGUUGACCACUUCUUAGGACCAUAUUUUUUCACCAUUUGAAUAAUUAUCUCAUCUUCCUGUAAAGAGAAAAACCAGUAAGAAAAAGUUGGAUGUAAAAACAAACCUAUUAGACAGAACUUGUGAACUGACGUUUAUAAGCAAUAUAGGAAAUAAGGACAGGAACAAUUCAGAUAACACUGUCGAUUAUAUUGCUUACCUGUUUUGACCAAGGUCCCUUCACAAGUUCAGGAUUUAAAACCUUCUGCCACCUGUGCAAGCAUUGAACAUCCGUCCUAUCGAGGAAACAUUCAGCUGGAAGAUACAGCAAAUAGAUAUUCAUCAAGCUUCAACACAUAUAAGAAAAGAAGCUAAUAUAUCUUCAUUACAUAUCAAAUGAUAGCCCAUGAAAAUAAGAAAUUCAAAACACAGCAAUGUCGGUAGUUUUUGUAUGCAUGAAUGGCAAGACAUGAAUUCAGAAUAAGAAGAAAACAAAAAUCGUUGAUGCAGUCGCUGUAUAAUUUCACCAUUCCAUGCACCACCAAGAAAGAAAAUUAUAACCAAUAUAACUGGUUCACAACAGCACAUAAUACCUAACGACUAUACAUAUCAACUAUAAGAAUCAUGAAGCCUGUAAAAAUAGCACACAAAGCAUAAAUGGCGAGACAAGAUUGCAGAAUAAGAAGAAAACCAAAAUUGUUGAUUUAGUGGUUGGAUCAUUGCAACAUUGAAUGUACCACAACCCAAAAAAAAAAGGUAAACCAUGUGACUGUUCCACACAAUUAUACUUUAUAAGAAAUAUGAAGCCAAUAAAAAUGGCAAUUUUAUUAUGGUAAUGAUGUUAAUAUAAUUAGCUGCAUCAUUGCCACAUUGCAUGCACCACAAUUUUUUUUUUUAAAAAAAGGUAAACCAUGCGACUGAUCCACAAGAGCACACAUUACCUUAAUAAUACAAAUAUGAAGUAUAAGAAAAAUGAAGCCUAUAAAAAUGGCAAUUGUAUAAUAGUAAUGGUGACGGUAAAUGGCAUUAUAAUCUACAAUAACCAUAAACUGAGAAGGAUGAAAAUGAACAUGAUUUAACAAUUCUCACAAUUCUAACACAAAUAUGAAGCAAUAUGAUGCUUGCUGAUUUUAAAUAAAUUAAUAAAUGGGCGAGGAUAUAUGAUGAAUGACAUCAAACAUGCAUAUGCCUGCAUGAUAAAAGAAUUACAAAGAGAAAUUCAAACAGAAAUACAUAAGAAAAACUUUAUUUAGGCUACUUUACUUUCUAGCCCAGUACAUUAUUCCUAUUAAUUACCUAUCUUUUUCCAGUUUUUGCCGUUGAAACGCUGAACAGCAUUGCACAGUAUGGCAUCCUGCAUAGAUAUAACAAAAUAUUCUAAACACACUUACACGCAACAUCCAUAAAUUCCAAGAAAAUGACACUUGAUCCUACUAAAAUGUAAAAAAGUUCCUGAAAUAAAUCAGUAAUUCUUGAUUGUCUUCAGAGAAUUUUCAAACAAAUCAACUGUCACUGGCUCAUAAUUGCAAGCUGUUCUAAACCAAGUGCUGCGGAAAUUUAAAGUAAAGCUUUUUUGAAAUCAUUUUUCGUCAAAACUUCAUAUGAUCGCAUUCCAUCUGCUACAGGGAAAGUGACUGUGUAGGUUUUGCAUCCACAAAGAAGAAUGUACUGGACUAUAUCUUACAUAUGGUAUCAUUCAGAGGUUACCUCUUCAGGUGUCCACUGGCCUUUGGUUGAGCGGCGUGUCGGACCAGUGGUCCUCCUGCAGAAAAAGUUUCAGUUUGUGAACAGCACAUUAAAUCAAAAAGACAUAAUUGGUGGGUUAGAAGCACGUAAGACGGAUUUCGAAGCCACAUCACAACUAAGGUGAAUAGUGUCUAAAAGGGUUUACCCAUUCAGUGGCCGUCGUCUCUGAGCAUUAUUGCAACUCCCUUGAUGAGCAGCCACUGAAGUAGAAGCUUCACCUCUCUCGGAAACCGUCUCCUUGUCACUUUCCAUUUCUGACGAAUAUCUCUGUCCCGAUCCCCACCCGAUAGAAGAACUUCUCAAAGAAGGAUCCCCAAACCAUCAUAAAGAGCCCAAGAGGGCACUACGAGAUCCCUCUGAUGACGACCAAAUCAUAGGCUGAGAAAUGAAAUCAACAAAGAUGAAAUUUAGCCCUCGACAACAACAUUCUAUGAAAUCUUGUCAAUUUGAACAAUAAUUAGUGGAUAUUCGACAUGCAAUUAGAAGUCUCAAAUAAUCUAAGCUACUAAAUUUAAUAUCCCAACCAAGAACUCAAAUUGCCAACUUUCCUGGAAUUAUCAAACCAAAUCUCCAAAAAAUCAUAUACAUUUACCACACCGACCGAAAAUCUUCCCAGAAAAAUAAAAAAAAAUCCAAAUUGCGCAUUCUCCAAGAAAUAGCAACUGGAGAAACAAGGUCUUACGACUAUAACCUCAAAAAGCAAACCCUAGUUUGAAAUGGGCUGAAACAAUUCAAAUCUUGAAACAAAGAAGGUAAAAUUCACAAAACUUCACAUUUCCAAUCAAACAGAUGCAAUCAAGGAAUCUUAGUUUCACAAUUGAUCAAUGGCGCGUAUGAGAUCUAUGUAAUGCCUCCUCCAAAUGGAGAUCGAGAGAGAGAAACGAAGGGGAAGAGAACUGAAGAUGGGGGAAAAUAUUUUAUCCGAUUCGUUCUUUUGCAAACUAUAAUUAUUAGAGGGGACGUAUUCGAGCCGUUUCAAAACCCUACCCUCGACUCGUGUGAGAUCGGACGGAGGAACGCGCACGUGCAUGAUCGGAAACGCGAUCCUCUCCGUCCGCUGUGUGAACGUUGGUGCCCAUGGUCCACGCGAGCCGCCCCGAAAUUUUGAAUUCCAACGGCUGACUACCGGCUGUAGGCGGUGGAAGGAUGUGCGAGUGACCGGCUGAGGAGAGUGAAUCUUGAAUUCUUAUGGCGAUUUCAUAAUUUUUUUUUAAAAAAAAUUAUAUAUUUUUAUAUUUGCAGCUUUGGUCCUUUUGACUUUGCAAUUUACCUAAAUUGAUUAGUUAUGUUCAGAAUUUUUUUUUUUUUUUUUUUUGUUACUUGAUCCAGUCCAAUCGUAAGUAUUUGCUCUCGAUAUGGUUUGGUUAUUUUGGUCCAAACUUGCUUGUCUAGUUUACUACUCAUUUGGAAAAUAAUAACCCAUAUUUCUCUUUCUUUUAUUUUUAAUUGCAGCAAUACACACUAGAGUGUUGCUAACAAUAGGCAAAAUAUUAGAGGUUUUGUUGUAAAAAAAAAAAAUAAAUAAAUGUGGUUUUGAGGUACGAAAGUUGAAGCUAAUUCGAAAUUUUUAAUUUGCCGUAGAGAAAAGCUAUCAGAGGAAACUAAUUUAGCGCAUGUUUUUCCUAAUAACAUUUUCCAAAAGUAAUUUUAAUAAAUAAUACUAUACUCUACAUUGAGCCAAACAACUCUGUUACUAAUAGGUUUCCAAACAUUCCUGACCAUCAUCACAGAUUUUUUUAAACAUAUUUAUCUUCUAGUAUGUUGAACAUCAGAAAUUUACUGAGUACGCAUCCCAUAAGUUAAUAAUCAACAGUCUCAACUUGAAUGGGCUGUUGAUUUCCGAACUAAUACCUUUUAAGUAAAUUAUCAACCGCGGUAGGCACUUCUUAAUUAAGGGCUAAUCUAGUAACUUCUAACUUUAUACAGUAUCUAAGGACCUACGAGUUAUGCAGCUCUAGCCUCUAAGUAAUUGUGUUUACUUUUUCUUAGUUGUCUUUAACUUUUUCUUAAAUCGAGUUGUCUCAAGUUCUAUAGCUGAAUUCAUUUUUCAUAUGUACAAAAUAGAUAACAUAAUAUCUUUCUCAAAAAAAAAAAAAGGAAAAAUUCAAACCUAGUCAGUGGAGAGGCCCCGUAGGACAACAUCGUACCUGCGAAGUUGGUGGCUCUAGUCUCUUAAGGAGGAUAUGGAUACAAAUUUAUUACACUAACAAAUGGUUGUUAGACUCAAGUAUUACUUAUUAACUGGCCUUUGGUUCUCAAAGAGAGACACUCAAAUGUGAAAUUUAUAUUUCGGAUGAACACUCUUGAUCAGACAGCAAUAAAAAAUUUUAUGCAUUGUUAUGAGAAGAAAAUAUUUAUUGGAUGCAUUCGAUCACUGGCGAGUAGUGAAAUUUAGGAAUUCACAAAGUUAUAAUUUUAUGAUGAAAACAUAUAGAAUGUAUCGAAAUUAUAGAUAAUUUUGAAUAUGCUAUUCAAUCUUUCAAACUUUUAAUUUACUAUUCAAUAUUUCAAUUUAUUUGAUUUGAGUGAGUCGAGCGAUAUUUUAACUUUAAAAUUUAAAUAAAUUACUUAUUUUAAUAAAUUUAUAGUUAAAAAAUUGUAUAAAGUAUAUUAACUAAACAUGUAAAGAUAAACGACAAAUUCAAAAGUUAAAAUCAGAGUAUCGUCGACUGACACAAAUGAAACAAAUUGAAAGAUUGAAUAGUAAAAUUAAAAUUUUUAAAUGCUAGAUAACAGAUUCAAAAUAAUCUAUUGUUGAAGUAAAUUGCGUAUAUUUUUAUCUAAUUUUGUGUUCAAAACAGUAACAAUUUCGAGGGAAAUGCAUUAAAAUUUUUUAAAAAAUCACAAAACGUACGGAUGCACCGAGUGUAGGGAAAGUGUCUCCAGCUAUCAGGUGACACCAUUUUCCGGCGCAAAGGGGGUUGAGGAUUUGCUCUCUCUCCAUGGAACGGAUCCCAUCGCUCCGAAACCAUCCCUCCUCUCCCCAUGGAGCUCCCUCCUCCACCCUUCACCGACCCUUCCUUUCUCCACCCCAACCCCACCCACCCGCACCUAGGCCCUCCCCCCUUCUCCUCAUUCCUCCAUGAGAGUCCCCUCCCACCUUCUCGCCCUUCACCAUCCGACGCUUCUCCACCCACACCCGCUCCCCACCCUGCUCUGCGAAGCCGCCUCAUCUCCCCCAAACCCUCCCCCUCCAUCAAUCACUCGCCGCCUCCGGCCGCCUCGCCGCAGCCCUCGCCUCCUUGUCCUCCGCCGCGGCCGCGGCCGCCCGUCGGACCCGACGGCUUCGUCUCCGUCCUCCGACACUGCGCCGCCCCGGAAACGCUAAUGGAGGGCCGCGGCGCCUCCACGCGCACAUGGUAGUCUCCGGUUUCGUUCACGACCCCUUCGUUCUCAAUCACCUGAUUAAUUAUGUAUGGUAAAUGCGGGCUCUUGGCUGAUGCUCAUUGGGUUUUUAAAGGGGAUGGCGAAGCCAAAAUUUGCAUUCUUGGAAUACCUUACUUGUGUUGUUAACUGCAAUUCGGAUUUUGAUAGAGCGCGGCAACUGUUUGAUGAAAUGCCUAAAAAGGAUACAGUUUUUCGUGGAUACGAUGAUCUGGUUAUGAUCAGCACGUUUCGGCCAUGUGAGGAGGCAUUGCUGGUUUUUGUCAGGAUGAGGAGUUCGGAUUCUAGGGUUGAUCAUUUUGGUGUUUCUAGUAUUAUUAGCGCUUGAUAGCAAUCUUAGAUUUUCUAAUAAUGGAAGCAGAGCUCCAUGGCUGUUCGAGUAAGUUGGGACUCGAUUCGCAUGUGCAGGUGGUAGUAGGCUCUCAUUGGGCUUUAUUGGAAAGUGUGGAGAAUUGGAGGAUGCUGGAAGGUCGUGUUUGAUGAAAUGGGUGUGAAAGAGAUUUUUUACGUGGAAUUCGAUGCUUGCAUGCUUAUAUUUGUUGCUCAAAGAUGGGAUGCGCUUACAUUCUUUGAUAAAUUUCCUGAGAAGAAUGUGGUUUCUUGGACUUCAGUUGUUGCUGGGUGCUCUCAACAUGAGAGGAAUGGAGAAGCAAUUUGUUAUUUUCACAGAAUGUUGAAAACAGGUCUUAGGGCUGAUAAAGCAUUGCUCGUUUGUGCUCUAACUGCAUGUGCAGGGUUGAUGGAUUCUAAAAAAGGGUUUAAAAUCCAUGCCUUGAUUCUGAAACACGGAGUUGGAAGUGAUGUGAUUGUUGGAAGUGUUCUUGUGAUGUUGUAUGCAAGAUGUGGAGGUUUCAGUGAAGCUAUAAGAAUCAUUAAUCAUAUGCCAUUAGUUGAUGACUUCUCGUGGAGUGUGUUGAUAGCUGAAUAUGCGAAGCAUGGGUUUAUAGAUAGUGCGAUUAAACUAUCUGACUGCUUGGAGAAGAAGAGUGUUCCAUUGUGGAAUGCCCUCAUUGGAGGUUAUUCUGAACUUGGAAUGAAUGAGGAGGCUCACAAAGCUUUUGGAAAAAUGCAAUUGGAGGGAAAAAAGGGUGAUGAGUUCACCUAUGGAAGCCUUCUGUUAGCUUCUGAUCUUGUUGGCUUGAGUUAUGGUGAACAACUCCAUUCACAAACUAUCAAGCUAGGCAUUGAUUCUUCUGUUUUUGUCGGCAGUGCUCUUAUUGACAUGUACAGCUACAACUUCGAGUGUGAAGCCGCUAUAAGAAUAUUUGAUGUAUUAGACGAACCAAACCUUGUGUGCUGGAAUUCAUUGAUCUCUGGGUUAGGAUUGAACAAAUUGGAUGGUAAAGCUCUAUGCGCACUUCGUCUAAUGAUGGUUUUUGGGCUAGUCCCAGAUAACAUCACAUUAUCACUUAUUCUUGAUUCAUGCUCAAAUUUACGAGCAUUAAGGGAGGGAGUACAGAUUCACACACUUGCCAGUAAAUUAGGGCUUGAAUCAGGUGUUGUUGCUGGGUGUGCUCUUAUAGACAUGUAUGCAAAAUGUGACAGAAUAAUAUAUGCGUCUCGUGUAUUCUAUGAAUUGCAAGAUCAUAGUGUAAUUACUUGGACUGCAAUUGUGGGUGGUUAUAUGAGAUGUGGAAUGUGGGAUGAGGCAAAAGAAUUGUUUGAUAUAAUGCCAGAGAGGAAUAUAGUUUCAUGGAAUGCAAUGAUUUCAGGAUGUGUGAAACUUGGCCGUUGUACAGAAGCACUUCAGCUCUACCAUCAAAUGCAUAAUUCGGGUAUUUUACCCGAUCAAAUAACUUUAGUUAGUCUGCUAACUAUCUGCUACAACUUUUUGCUAAAAGAGAAUGGGAAGCAGAUUCAUGCCCAGGUAAUAAAAAAUGGGUAUCAUAUAAACAAUCAUGUAACUAUGGUGUUGACAGAAAUGUAUCACAAACUUGAAGUACAUCCGUAUAGUGUAUUGUCUUUUGGGUCAUCUGAUCCAGUGCUUGGCAAUGGUACGGUAGAGCCAGAUGCUCUUUCAGGGAAUAAUUAAUGUCUGUUUGGCUUGGUUUCUGAAAUAACUUUUCUACUUCGAGAAACAACAACCAGAUUGUUGGGAAGCAAAACAUCGUGUGACAGGAGGCUUGAAUAAGAAGAAUUUCCAUCUUGAAGCUUCUGGUACUGCUUGUGCAGCAAGGAAGGAUGUUAAUGGAAAAGCUGUUUGGACUUUGUUGAUCAAUUCGAACAGCACUUUAGCAUGAGCCCCAGGUGGGCCAACUGGACCUAAGCAGUGUGGCUUUCUUUUGUGCUAGCUUUAAUUGGAAAGUUUAGGAAGGAAUCACAUCAAAGCUAGCUUAUUCAAUUUCCUUCUAAAUGAGAUGAUGCGUAUUAGCUCUGUGCAGUGAAACUGUACCAUCCCACUCUUAACAUUCGAUUGUUGCCUGGUCGACAGGUGAUAGAGGUUUUUCUCUUUAUUUAAUUCUUUAGUCCAAAUAUGGAGCCAAUGAGCCACUUGUCAGUUUGAUUUUAUCUCUUACAUAAUGCAGUCUUGUCCAAUUUCUGGAAGUGUAACAAUCUUGAAAGGAGGCGUGUGAGUGUGAAUUGGUUGAUGUUAAGAACUAACCAUGCAGAUCAGGCAAAUCAGAAAAUGUUUCCAAAUUAAUUCCUGCUUCUUCAAGGUAUCUCUGUUAAACCUUUCACAAGUUUAGCUGCAGUUUGAAGUUUGAAACAUCAUUUGUUUUCUUUCCCAUUUAGUUUUAUGAUGAUUAUCAUGAAAAUGCAAAGUCUGUCAUUGCUUAAGGGUUCAAAACAUGAUUUAAUCAUGGAAUAUUAUGCAACUCUUAUGGUUUUUUGACCUUUUCCUUUUUCAUUCACUUCUCAGUUGGAAAGCUGUUUUGAUCAAUUGGCAUUAGAGGAACUAGUGAGAGAACACAGGAUAACCUUUGAUUUGGCAAAAGUUCCUUAACCAAAACAAGGCUUGCUAGCUGACCUCAAUGUUUGGGUCAAAAUUAAAAUUUUUUAGUAAUAUUAGAUUUUGCCUUUAUUAAUACAUUAACAAAUUCAUAUAAUUAAUCAUGGAAAAGUUAUGCACCCACUUUUGUGUGGCCGCCCUCAAUACCACAGAGCAUUUUGUGCAUGCUUAACCUUGCUUCUGGAGAACUUACUCUAUUUGAGAAGCUAAAUGCAGGUAGUAGCAAGCAAAACAUCUUGAGCUUUCCACUGGAGAUACAAUUUAAAUUAGCUCUUCAGCUCAGAAGGAGAAGUUUCAAUUUAAUGUUUCUGCUCCCAGUUAUAGUUAGUUACUAUGAAGGGUUUUCAAUAAAAAAACUAUUAGGGCUUCUUUGAAAGGUCUAGAUCACCCUUUAUUUAUCUGUUGUAGAUGUCCUCAACAAUUCUAUAUUCAUCGUCCUUUGGUUGUUAGACUAAUUGCUCUAGGAAGAAAAAGAAAUUGCGAUUGGAAAAGAUUAUAUUAUCCUCUAGGAUUGGAUAUAAAAUACAUGAAAAUCUGAAAUUGAUUGCCGAUUACAUAAACUUGACCAACUCAUCUGUUUGUUUCUCAUGUUUGAGGAAAUCUUAUUGUUGAAAUUAGUUUCUUAUAUACCUUUAAUAGAAAGUUUGUUUCCCGAACAAAGUCAAAAUUCGUUGGAGAGGUUUUUAAGUGCUUGAAGUUGAAUUAUUAUUUCAAGCUGUUAUAGUGUGAUGUGCUGUUCCGCAAUGUAUUACUAAAUUUUUAGCCCUCGAGAUCAUUUGUUCUGCUAAAAAAAAAUUUGUGUCAUUCUUUUGGCCCUCUAGAAUAAGCUUUACAUGACGUGCCUUUUUGUGACAGAUUGACAAAUCUCUGCAAAUUUGAAGAAUAUGCUUCGGUCUUGUUAUUUGUGAGCUGGAUAAAUGGUAAUAUGCUGAUCCCAGAUUAAGCUCAAUCCAACAUUAGCUAACUCAUCUCUUUUUACUUCCUGGAUAUUGCACUACGUAAUUCAAUUUAUGAUACUUAAACAAAAAAAUUAUUCGUUGCUUCAGACUCUAGAAUUUCACCAUCAGUUCAACAAUUGGCGGGGGCGGUCAGGUUUUGUUACGAUAGUAUAUAUGUAAGGUUUCAGGAAGAAGGAAAAUAUUUGAGAUAUGAUAAUUUGUCAAGAAAUCAUUCUUAUACCAUAUGUGAAAUGUGCAGCAACAAUAUUCUUUCUUAACCAAUACGAAAAAUAAAGAGUUUGUUGUCUUUCAUUGCCAAGAAUGCGUUGUUCAGUUACAAAUGCUUUUAUAGUAUCAUUGUUUUACAUUUUAAAAUGUAAUUUUGUUAGCAUCGAUUAAGUUCUUUUAAUCUCUCUCUCUCUCUCUCUCUUUCUUCUGCUUAUGUAGUUCUAUCAUUGCUGGGUUAUUUCUUUCGGUCUGACUGAACUAUUGAACGCCAAUAACUUAGUUUCUAAUUUAUGUAAACAAUGCAGCCUUUUUUUGAGGAGUAGCCUUUCAAGUACCAGGUGGAUCGCAACUCAGAUUUUGCUCUUGUUCAUGAGAAAGAGUGCUUUACUAUUGAAUUCAAUGUUCAUUUAUUUACUUCUUUAUCCUUUUGAAGUAUCCUUUACGAUACUGAGGGCUCGUCUGACCUUACUGUAACCUAUAGUGUUAUUCGAUAAAAUACUAGUAGAGUAGUUCUCUUAGAUAAAGUACUCAUUAAAAAAUUAUUCUCUGACAAAAUCAAAAGCAUCAAAUUGCAGCAGUUGCUUUUAAGACUUGGAAUUUCAUAUCUGCUUCUUGCUGCAGCAAAAGCUUCGGAAGUGCAAGCAGAUUAAACAAGUCCUCGAUGUUAACCUGGGGAUCGGAGUCCAGGAGAAGGUAUUCUAAGGCAAGUGGACAGUGGGGCUCAUCUCAUGUGGCUAAAAGUUGUUUAUUUGGAUUUGAUGAUCAUGAGACGCGCACAUGGAGCAGGUCUGAUCAAGCCAAGCCUCAACUCAAUCGACGCAUUUGUUUUGUUCCAUCCAGUAGGUAUCCUUUUGUUGUCCUUUAGCUGAAAAUCUCAAUCGUGAGAGGCCCUUCAAUCCCCCAGAGUGUAUAGGUGUAGGGGGAUUAUUUUUUUAGAUAAUAUUCAUUAUUAUUAUAAUUAUAGCAUUAAUGGAUAAUUUUAGAAAAGAUAAAAUUAGAUUUGUUUUAAUAAAAAAUAAUUUAAUUUGAUUGUUACGGAAAAUGAAAACACUCUAUAUAUUUUUUUUAAUCUAUAAAAAUAGUUUUUCGAAUAAAAAAAUUUACGGCUUAACAAAAAAACAUACAAAAAAUAAAUUUUUAAGCCAUAAAAUUAUUUAUAGUAUAUUCUACUCGUAAUUAAAAACAUGCUUUAGCCUUUAGUGGAAGAAUCCAAUUUGUCUUUAAUGUAAUAAAAGCUCCCACCAAAACGGUCGGCUCAAUUAGAUGCUGUCCCGUGGGUUACGAGAAGAUGCCGCUUCUGAUGCCACAAAAUAACAACCCCCCUCCUCGUAAGUUUCAGCUGUCAGAGAAGGCACCACCAAGGUUUGCUUGGAUCCCUCUUUCUUUUUAGUCAGCUUCUUCUUUCUUUCUUGAAUAAUAUUAUAAAAUAUUUCUAUUUAUAAAUAAAUUUUAUAAUAUUUUAUAAAUUAAUUUAUAUGAUGAUAUUUAAUUAAUAUAAAAAAUAUAAAUUAUGAGAAAAAAAAGCAUGGCUUACAAUUUUAAGAUUAAUUUUCAACUGCUGAGCUGUUUAACUUAUAAAACUACUACGAAAUUUGUAUGUGCGCGUAGUAUUUUCUUUACUUCUUUCAACCGCAAUAGUUCAGAGUCUUCACACCUCGUUGGUGGACCCCACGCUCAAAUAUAUCCUUAUUAUUUAUUUUUUCUUUUAAUUUAUUUGUUUUAAUACAUGCAAUCAUACACAUAUGGCUUGAUAAACCGGAUCUUCUGCGGAAUUCGAAUUUGAAUGACCAAAUUACAUAGCGCGAAAGAGUUUUUCAGGCCAUAUAAAUAAUUAAUCAUUCUAAAAGUUUAAAAUCGUCAUAUUUAUAAUUUAAUGAAGUAGCUAUCACAAAGAGGACAACUCAAACUGGGUUUGAUGCACCUACCUCAUCAACUGCUGUAACCUCUUCCUAAGACAAUUUGAGAAACUAUCCAAAUAUCGUCACUUGAGAAUUGUUUUUCUUAUAUAUUAUAAAUAUAAAAUCUCUACUAUAAAUAAUUUUAUUUUUUUAUUUAAAGAUAGAGCGUGUUUUAAUUCUUGGUUAGUUACUUCUUAGACUUUGGGAUCAGGAGGAAAUCUAAUUUUGAACUCUGAUUUUUAAUUUUCCUAUCCCACCGUUACAUUUUUACGCUUACAAGUUACAAGGAGCUACUAAGUAUUAUUACUAUUCAGUUUAAAAAUUAGAAGAGAGUGUGUGUGUGUUUUACUGUUUCCUUUCUCUCUACUUUUCUAACUUAAUCCUCCAAAUAGGGGCGAUUUUCAGAGAAUAGAGAACCCACACAAUACAGCACUCAAUUGUUGCACAUCAGAGAGAGAGAGAGAUGGAGAAGAGAGAGGGGAGGGCUUUAGGGGAUGAAAGAGGAGGUGAUGAUCGGGGGAGCCCAAGCGUGUCGACGAUGGCCAUGGCAAAUAGGGGAGAGAGAUCGGGAGCUGCUUCGCCGUCGCCGGGCGAAUCCUCCGACGACCCCGAUUCCAAGCCUCUCCUCCGUCCGCCGCCGCCGGCCGCCCACCACCACCACCACCACCACACUCGGGCCGAGAGAGUCGCCUCACCCUCCUCUUUUGCCCUCUCUUCGAGCGCCUCUCAUCUCAUCUUUUUGCGCAAAUUGGUUUCUCUUAAAAAUCGGUUUUUGGGGGCCUUUUGCUGGGGAAUUUAUCCGAAGAUUCGAUCUCUAGGUUUUCCCCUUUCCUUUUCGUGUUAGGUUUCAUUUAUUUCCUUCAAAAAGGGAACUUUCUAGAACACUUGUUCUUUCUUAUGGUCUUUUGGUUUGCGUCAGCUUUUUUCUAAUUUUUGAGGAAUAGGUUUCAAUUUCUAUAUUUCUAACUGGUUGGAGAUAAUUUGUUUAAUUUGCUUGAAAGGGAGGCCCUUCAUCUAUUUUGGAUAAUUAAUUGUAUGAGUGUGAACGAUGUUCAUAGAACUGUUUGGUGUUUCCUCAUUCAACCUGUUUGGUACAAUUUCUCUUAGUAUUUGUCUCACUAUAUUAUUUACACCAAUUCAGCAUCUCAUGUCAUGCGACUAGGUCUUGAGGAGAAUGUUUCAGAGAAUCAUGCUUUCGAUGUUUCAAACUAUUACUUAACCAAUGGAACGUAUUAGACGGUAAAUCGGACAUAGGAACAAUAUACAUGUAAAAGGAUGAGAAAUUAUAUGUAGGCUGCCUAUCAUAGAAGAGACAAGUUAAUCACAAUUAUAAUAGUACCAUCUGGAUACUCUGAAUUCAGGUUCAGCAUAAGAUUGCUCUAAGGACUUAAAGGUUUGUUAUUUAAGAAGGAUAGAGAAACUGAUUCUCUUGGCAUAUGUUUGAUUAAGUGAUGCCUUUUUCUGAAUGAUAGUCAAUGUUAUUCGCCACAAAGCAAAUGUGUAUCUAGCAGGCAUCUGCAAGAUGCUGUGACUCUUUGAUCUAAUAAUCUUUCUAAGAAGCUUGAUACUGUUUUUACUGAUGAGGUGAUAAAAUGCAGGCAUUUCAUAAUGUUCUUCGCAGCUGGGCUUCAAAAAAGUUCAUGACUGGAUGGUGAGCUUCUUUUCUUUAGUACUUGAGAUUUGUGCAUUUCUCUAGAUAUGCUAUCCUCUUCCUCAGUAAAUGUAUCGACAUAUUUUUUCUGGCAGUGGUAUUCUGGGUGAGAUAUUUCUCUAGUUCCCAUAACCCUAACACUUGUAGAUUAAGGACCUUCAAGCAUUGAGUGAAACUUACCAAAAUAAAACUGUACUCGGCUAAGGAAUAGGUGAAAUGUUUGGAUAUACACCCCAUUUGCUUCUAUUGGUUUAUACAGCAAAGCUUUAUCUUUGGACUUGCUGUCCAAGGAAGUAUGUCUUCUAUCUAGUUCACAAUUAAUCUAUGAUUGAUCAUAUUGAUGUAUACUCUAGAAGUGGUUUUGGCAAUUCAUAUAAUUACAAUUGAAUUGCCUGUUUCCUGUUUGUUGAAAGUAGAGUUGAGCUCUCCAGGAGAUUGUGUGGAAUUAUUUGCAUACUUCGCUUAUUUUAUUUUACUUGCCAAUUUUUUACAAUAUGUGGAGUUGUGGACAUUAUUAUUUUCCAAUCCAUCGGCACUGAAGAGUUCCUAACAAAAUUGUCUUUAUUUAGUAUAUCAGAAACUUAGAUAACUAAAUAGACGUUUGCAAAUCUACUUAGAGAGCUAUCCUAGCUUAAAGCUUAGACUGCAAAAGUCUCUUUAGCUUAUGUGGCAAGACCCUAACUUUGAAAUGAAACUUUAUGCUGUUCCUUUUCAUACUUGUUCUUGUUUGUUGUUUUACAUCAUCUCUUCCUUGCAGUGUGAUCCUCUUUCCAAUAGCAGUUACUUCUAUAUCACAUGGUGGUUUAUUCACUUUGUGGAUGGAUUUUUUCUCUCAAUUAUUAUGCUCACUUUCGAUCAACAUAUUCGGUAUGGCAUAUUGUACUUCUAGUCAGUCCUUUUGAUACAUAUUAGAGAUGAUGAUUAGUUGUUUCGUUCUUCGCAGGCAAAGAAUAAAAACUUUUUUCUCAUCUAAACUAAUAUAAUAAUAUAUAUAUAUAUAAUUCCUACAAAACUCAGUAUAAUCAUAUCUUGAAUUUUUAUCAAAGAAAUUGAAGUAGAGCUCAAAUUACCUGCCCAAACAAUUUAUUAUGCACCUGGCAUCUUAAUUAGUGGCUAGAGUCUAGAUCUUACAUCUAUGAUCCAAAGUUUAAACUGGUUGAUUUUUUUUUGUGUUUUUCAGGACGUUGGCUUCAUAACUUCCAUAACUUUUAUAUUUUUGGUUGGAGUGUUCAUGUCCUCAUGGGUGGGGGCAUCUCUUCUUAGCCUUGAGAGAAGUGUUUAUCAAGAUGAAUGCCAUUUGUUCGCCCAUAUUUCCAUGUAUCCAAGCAAAAUUAGCACUGCAAUAUCACCUGGUGAUUUAUUUUCCCUGCCUUAUUGAUUCUUUUGGAUCUUUUUUCAUUUUGUAACUGACAUUCUCUAACUACAGAUCAGAACACACAAGCCUUCAAGGAAGUGGCUAUUAUAAGGCACCCUAGGAUUGGUGAAUACGCAUUUGGAUUCAUUACUUCAGCAGUUGUUCUUCAGGUUUUCAGAUAUACAUUACCAUGAAAUGUUUCCAAUGCUAUGCAUUUGCAUGGUUGCACAACUUCAAUGGCAUAUAAUGCAUGUGUUCGCUUAUGUUUUGGUGAUACGAGUGAAUAUCUUUAACUGGAUGAUCUGAAAAUCUAUACUAGUUUGGCAUUUCUAAGUGGAAAUAUCCUAUAGGACUGAAUUGUAUACUAGUUUGGCAUUUCUAAGUGGAAAUAUCCUAUAGGACUGAAUUGGUGUCCUUUACUUUUCACAGAUGUAUUAAGAUCUGUGCCACAAAUCAGUUGUUUACCUUUCACAAUCAAUUCACUAGUUGACGAAAGCAGUUUAUCUUUAUGUGUCCCCAUCACAGAUGUUUAGAUAUUCAGCCACUAAGGCAUCUAGUUUGAGAUCAUCAAAUAUUUAGUCAGUAAAGAAAUGAACUUUUUGACAAUAUUUGAUCAAAUUGACAGUGACAACAUUAUGACGGCAAGCUAGGUCUGUUCAGUUGGAAUACGCCAAGUCUAUUUCCAGCCAAAAGUUAGUGACAUACAUGGUAUCUGACCCUCAACGAGCACCUAUUUCUGAAUCCAAUAUAGUAAAGUCACUUAAAAUUAAAUGUGCAAUCCCUGGAAAGGCAGAAGAUUAGGCUGAAAAGUCUCUACUCUCUAGAAACUAAAUAUAACAGAAAACACAUAUCUAUUUGUCAUUAUCUCUGUCCCU